GCCUGGGGCCGGCCGCGCUCUCGGGCUCGCAGGCGCUGGGUCUCGGCUCCGGCUCCGGCUCCGCGCCGCUGGCUCUGCGUCGCUCGCACUCCAGCCGGGGGCACCCUCAUCCCAGGCUGACUGACGUCCCUGGCACCCAAAUGUCGCGGGGAGUGCGGGGCCAGGGUGCGCCCUCCCUCCUCCUCCAGCCAGUGAAACCCGGGACAGCGGCACCCAGCCCCAGGGCGGAGGCCGUCUCUGCUGCGCGCAGCGACGCACCCAGGCCCAAGGGCCGGGAGAUCCGCGGGGAACCCGGAGACCUGCGUCCCAGAGGGGCCGAGGGUUGCACCGCGCCCGCUCCCACGGGCCUCUUCCGAGAGGACGCUUCUCCCUCGUGUCCGCGGGAAGUCCUCGGAUCCUGGAUGAGAAAGAGCCUUCUCUCACCGGCUCCCAGACCCCGCGCUUUUUAAUACCUGUCCUUGCAGAGCGACUGGUCAUUUUAGGCCCGAGUCGAGCCUCUCUUGAUUAAUAAAUGAAUAUGGCUCGUUUUGUUUUAAGUGUGCGUGGAUGUAUACGUUGUAUUGUUUUGCAAUUCAACACCGCAAAGAUCUGGGAAAAGUUCUUCACCUGCAUUAAGGAAAGCAAUUACAAACUCGUAGUCCAAACCAGAAGAGCCAGAAAA
ensembl:lncRNA NEBL-AS1 NEBL antisense RNA 1